GAACGCUGGCGGCAUGCCUUACACAUGCAAGUCGAACGGCAGCACGGGAGCAAUCCUGGUGGCGAGUGGCGAACGGGUGAGUAAUAUAUCGGAACGUGCCCAGUCGUGGGGGAUAACGUAGCGAAAGUUACGCUAAUACCGCAUACGAUCUAAGGAUGAAAGCGGGGGAUCGCAAGACCUCGCGCGAUUGGAGCGGCCGAUAUCAGAUUAGGUAGUUGGUGAGGUAAAGGCUCACCAAGCCAACGAUCUGUAGCUGGUCUGAGAGGACGACCAGCCACACUGGAACUGAGACACGGUCCAGACUCCUACGGGAGGCAGCAGUGGGGAAUUUUUGGACAAUGGACGCAAGUCUGAUCCAGCCAUUCCGCGUGCAGGAUGAAGGCCCUCGGGUUGUAAACUGCUUUUGUACGGAACGAAAAGGUUUCUAUUAAUACUAGGAGCUCAUGACGGUACCGUAAGAAUAAGCACCGGCUAACUACGUG
rnacentral:rRNA from 1 species